AUACGGAGGGUGCAAGCGUUAAUCGGUAUUACUGGGCGUAAAGCGUGCGUAGGUGGUUUGUUAAGUCAGAUGUGAAAGCCCCGGGCUCAACCUGGGAACUGCAUUUGAAACUGGCAUACUAGAGUAUAGGAGAGGAAAGUGGAAUUUCAGGUGUAGCGGUGAAAUGCGUAGAUAUCUGAAGGAACAUCAAUGGCGAAGGCAGCUUUCUGGACUAAUACUGACACUGAGGUACGAAAGCGUGGGUAGCAAACAGGAUUAGAAACCCUAGUAGUCC
rnacentral:rRNA from 1 species